rnacentral:rRNA from 1 species
CUUGGUCAUUUAGAGGAAGUAAAAGUCGUAACAAGGUCUCCGUUGGUGAACCAGCGGAGGGAUCAUUACAGAGUUGCAAAACUCCCAACCCUUUGUGAACGAACCUACCAGUUGCCUCGGCGGCGAGCCUUUCAGGCGGACCGCCGAAGGAAUACAAACUCUUUGCAUUAUAGUAUCUCUGAUUACUUAUUCAAUAAGUUAAAACUUUCAACAACGGAUCUCUUAGUUCUGGCAUCGAUGAAGAACGCAGCGAAAUGCGAUAAGUAAUGUGAAUUGCAGAAUUCAGUGAAUCAUCGAAUCUUUGAACGCACAUUGCGCCCGCUAGUAUUCUGGCGGGCAUGCCUGUUCGAGCGUCAUUUCAACCAUCAAGCCCUAGGCUUGUGUUGGAGCCCUGCGGCUGCCGCAGCCUCCUAAAAACAGUGGCGGGCUCGCUAUUACACCGAGUGCAGUAGUUUACUCUUCGCUCAGGGCGUGUGGCGGGUGCUGGCCGUGAAACCCCCUACUUCUUAAGGUUGACCUCGGAUCAGGUAGGAAUACCCGCUGAACUUAAGCAUAUCAAUAAGCGGAGGA